CACUGCCAAGGCCGGCCUCUGCGGUGCGUAGGCGUGAAGACAGGCCACGCAUCCCGAGGGGUCAGCAGGUCAAAGGGGCAAGUGGGGAAGCCGGGAGUCGGCUGGCUCGGCUGGAAUCCGGGGUGCAUGCAGAGGUAAUGGCUUGAUUCAAAAUUCACCAAGACAACUCUCCUCAUCUGCGCGUACCUGAAGGCCGAUAAACCUUGCAGAGCAGAGAGCGUUUGCUUUCUUUUUAAAAUGAACACAGCGUGGUUUUGAAGAUAAGGCUGGUGUUUAGGAAAUGGCAGAGGCCUUCCUCCACUUACAUAAGAAAGACAUGCACCACAUUUUUCCUGAAUCUGACUCUGCCGCAUGGACCUGGAAUCUACAAAGUUCCAUACCACCAAACAAGGGACAGCUGAAAAUCCUGGUGUGUGACAGGCCUCCGACAACUGGAUAAUGAAAGUCUUUUCGCACACAGCACGGU